rnacentral:rRNA from 1 species
UACGGAGGGGACUAGCGUUGUUCGGAAUUACUGGGCGUAAAGCGCACGUAGGCGGAUUUGUAAGUCAGGGUGAAAUCCCGGGGCUCAACCUCGGAACUGCCUUUGAUACUGCAAAUCUCGAGUCCGGAAGAGGUGAGUGGAAUUCCUAGUGUAGAAGUGAAAUUCGUAGAUAUUAGGAAGAACACCAGUGGCGAAGGCGGCUCACUGGCCGGUACUGACGCUGAGGUGCGAAAGCG